GUUCCUCGACCGUUGGUUACCCCAACGUCAACACCACCAACAGCAGCAGCAGCAGCAGCCUGUUCAGCGAUCAUCAACCUUUCAUCUUCGUGCCGGACGCAGAUCGUGGAUGCGAAGUACUCAGCUGCUUCGAUAUGGUUUGGAGUAACGAUCGUAAACUACUUCCGGUUCAAGAGUAGCUCUGCUCCAGCGCCGCUCAGAAAAAACAGUAUGUUUUGGUGAUAAUGUUAUCAUAAGUAUUAUCCAACCGUAAGCGAAUAUCGAUUACGCCCAACAAUGCCGCCAUACACAAAAGUA